rnacentral:rRNA from 1 species
UAGGGAAUCUUCCACAAUGGACGAAAGUCUGAUGGAGCAACGCCGCGUGAGUGAAAAAGGGUUUCGGCUCGUAAAACUCUGUUGUUAAAGAAGAACAUAUCUGAGAGUAACUGUUCAGGUAUUGACGGUAUUUAACCAGAAAGCCACGGCUAAAUACGUGCCAA